GUUGCAAUUACUGAGUGAAGUGACUAAAAUUCUAACAGUAAAGUUAGUUCUAUACAGACAUAUUUAUUUCAGUUCCAUGUGGGCUGGUGAAAUAAAACAGCAUAUACUAUACCCAGGGCCAUCUAGCAUGCUUAAAGUGUGACUAAAGACAGUGGAAGAAUUAUGGAAGCCUCUUUGUUCUGUCUUCUGAUACCUUGCGUCUUCAUUUUCAGAGCAAUAAGAGGUAUGAGGUCUUUUAGCUCUCUGGAGAAAGGGAACAUAUGUUCAGAAGACCAAAGGUUCACCAGCUGUGUCCACUCCAAGGACAGCCAGCCCAGCCAGAUAGAAGUAAGAGUAACUACGGGCUUCCCUGGCAAUCCAGACGAGAAGACUCCAUGCUUCCACUGCAGGGGCGUGAGACUGACCCUUGGUUGGGGAACUGAGAUCUUGUACGGCAUGUGGUGCACCCAACAGAGAGAAAGAAGAGCAACCAGAGAAAGAUCUCCGGGGACUAACAGGGUUUGCUGUUAGGGCGCUGCUCUUCUGCAGGUUCUCCACCAACUCUGCAGCCACCUGGGACUCCUGCUUAGAUUUGCUCUUUUAUACGGUCUCCCUCAGUGGUUCUGACGGAUGAUUCUGCCUAAAGCAACCAAAAUGACUCUCCAGAAAGUAGCAACAGAACUGUUUUCUUAGCUCUGCUCAACUCACAUUGAUAUCCUUUGCUAACAUCACUUCCUGCCCCACCUCACAGUUCUCUCUUGAUAUUCCAUACAUAACUUGCCUAAAAAACAUUUUUGCUCUGUUUGUCAAAUAAUCUAGAAGCCAUAAAUUCAUAUUUACCUUUCAUAGGUGAAAGACUGUGGUAAAAGUUGAGCGUUUCCGUGUUCUUUUUUUUCUAUUUCUCCUAAUUAUGAGCAUUUUAUGUAUGUUUUAGUCAAUCUAUCUAAUUUUUUUCUACAAACAAGCAAAAGUCAAUUUAUUAACUAGAAGAUAUUCAGAAAAGCCAUUCCCGACAUAGAUACUCAUUCCAUGUUAAUUAGGGAAACAACAAUACCGUAUUUCACGCUUGCUUUGCUAUCUUUUAUCUCUCUUCUUGGCCAUGGGGAAAGUGAAGAUUCUAAGGAUGAAAAGAAAAUGAUUUCGAAUUGUAAAUUAAGAUCCUUUAUCUGAUAAAUACCAAGCCAGAAAUUAGAAACCUCACCUCACAUCACACUAAGAAGUAAGUUUCUGAUGCAUUUGGGUUGAAAAAUAUCAAACCAUAGAAAAAUUAAAUAAUGUAUCAUUAACUAUUUGUCAAAUCACUGGAUGGACGGCUUCCUUAGUUUAAAAGAAACCACAGGUAUACAAAAAAAAGUGGACCAUUGACCAGAGAAUUUAAAUUUUAAGUAUGAUUUUUGCUUCAGAAGGUAGUAUGAGUCAAAAACCUGGCAGGUAGCUGGCACUCAUUGAACACUGAAUAAUUUUACUGUUUCUCCCUCCUUUCUUCCUCUUCUUCUUUAAAAGUAGUUUUAUUGAUUUAGGCUGUGCGGGGUCUUUCUUGCAGUGCGGGCUUUGGUCUCGUUUUGGUGAGCAGGGGCUCCUCCUCGGUUGUGGCACGUGGGCUUCUCAUUGCUGGGGCUUCUCUUGUCAGGAAGCGCGGGUUCUAGGCGCCUGGGCUCCGGUAGCCGCAGCUUGUGGGCUCAGUAGUUGAGGCUCCCAGGUGUUAGAGAAGCAGCUCAGUAGCUGCGGCAGGGCUUAGCUGCUCUGCAGCUUGUGGGAUCUUCCUGGACCAGGGAUCAAGCCCGUGACUCCUGUAUUGGCAAGCAGAUUUUUUACCCCUGAGCCACCUGAGAAGCCCUCCUCUCCUUUUUUCUACUUCCCCAGUCUCUUCCCUUUCUAGCCACCUUGUGAGAACGUCCCUGGUAGCUCAGAUGGUAAAGGAUCUGCCUGCAAUGCAGGAGACCUGGGUUAAUCCUUGGAUAAAGAAGAUCCCCUGGAGAAGGGAAUGGCUACCCACUCUGCUAUUGUUGCCUGGAGAAUUCCAUGGACAGAGGAGCCUGGCGGGCUAUAGCCUGUGGGGUCACAAAGAGUCAAACACAACUGUGCGACUAACACUUUCACUUAGGAGAACUUCAGAAUAUAACUAAGGUGAAUUGAAUCAUUCUUCUGAGUGCUUCGGUGCCAAAGCACAAAUUGACCAUGUAAUAAUGAGAAUUUUGCAUUUAUUGAGUGUCUGUGUGAUGAUAUAGAUUGAUUCUUUUAAUUCUUAGAAUAAUGUGGCA
rnacentral:lncRNA from 1 species